GACAUGACUCUCGACAAUGGAUAUCUCGGCUCUUGCAUCGAUGAAGAGCGCAGCGAAAUGCGAUACGUGGUGCGAAUUGCAGAAUCCCGCGAACCAUCGAGUCUUUGAACGCAAGUUGCGCCCGAGGCCAACCAGCCAAGGGCACGUCCGACUGGGCGUCAAGC
rnacentral:rRNA from 1 species